rnacentral:tRNA from 1 species
AGCCCCGUAGUCUAGUGGUCAAGGAUACAGGGUUUUGGUCCCUGUGACCCAGGUUCGAAUCCUGGCGGGGCUA